UGGGGAAUCUUGGACAAUGGGGGCAACCCUGAUCCAGCCAUGCCGCGUGAGUGAUGAAGGCCUUAGGGUCGUAAAGCUCUUUCGCCUGUGAAGAUAAUGACGGUAGCAGGUAAAGAAACCCCGGCUAACUCCGUGCCAGCAGCCGCGGUAAUACGGAGGGGACUAGCGUUGUUCGGAAUUACUGGGCGUAAAGCGCACGUAGGCGGACCAGAAAGUUGGGGGUGAAAUCCCGGGGGCUCAACCCCGGAACUGCCUCCAAAACUAUUGGUCUAGAGUUCGAGAGAGGUGAGUGGAAUUCCAAGUGUAGAGGUGAAAUUCGUAGAUAUUUGGAGGAACACCAGUGGCGAAGGCGGCUCACUGGCUCGAUACUGACGCUGAGGUGCGAAAGUGUGGGGAGCAAACAGGAUUAGAUACCCUGGUAGUCCACACCGUAAAACGAUGAAUGCCAGUCGUCGGGUAGCAUGCUAUUCGGUGACACA
rnacentral:rRNA from 1 species